UGUGGAGGAGGACGCCGAAGGUGGGGCUAAUGACUGGGGUGAAGUCGUAACAAGGUAGCCGUACCGGAAGGUGCGGCUGGAUCACCUCCUAACAGGGAGACAACAAAAUGUUUAAUAUUAUUUUGUCACCUUAGGUCGAUCGGUAUCUCACAUUUUUAAUUUAUUAAGAAUUUCAUUUCCUAAGUUUUUCUAGGUCACACCCAUCAUUUUUCCUGGGCCAUUAGCUCAGGUGGUUAGAGCGCACCCCUGAUAAGGGUGAGGUCCCUGGUUCAAGUCCAGGAUGGCCCAUAUCUCUAUGUUGGGGGUAUAGCUCAGUUGGUAGAGCGCCUGCUUUGCAAGCAGGAUGUCAGCGGUUCGAGUCCGCUUACCUCCACUGAUUACCACCUCUUCCAUAAUCGGUAGAAAGGAAAUAUUUUGAGUUGUGAUCAAAUUCUGAACGAAUCUAGCUUCCUAAUAGAUUUAUUAAGAUGCUGGACUCAUUGAAUUAAUUUCAUUGUUUUCAGAGAACCUUGACAACUGCAUAGAUUAUUUUUAAAGACAAUAAGCAUCUUUAUUGAUGCAGAUUUAUUAUUUUUGCCAAUGCAUUAAUAACAAUUCUAUUAAGCUGAUGCUUCAAUUUUUUGAAGUUAUUGGUCAAGCUACAAAGGGCUCACGGAGGAUACCUAGGCACACAGAGGCGAUGAG
rnacentral:misc_RNA from 1 species